rnacentral:rRNA from 1 species
UACGUACGUACGAGGUUAGGUACGUACUACUGGCUCAGGACGAACGCUGGCGGCGUGCUUAACACAUGCAAGUCGAACGGAAAGGCCCUGCUUUGUGGGGUGCUCGAGUGGCGAACGGGUGAGUAACACGUGAGUAACCUGCCCUUGACUUUGGGAUAACUUCAGGAAACUGGGGCUAAUACCGGAUAGGAGCUCCUGCUGCAUGGUGGGGGUUGGAAGGUUUCGGCGGUUGGGGGAUGGACUCGCGGCUUAUCAGCUUGUUGGUGGGGUAGUGGCUUACCAAGGCUUUGACGGGUAGCCGGCCUGAGAGGGUGACCGGCCACAUUGGGACUGAGAUACGGCCCAGACUCCUACGGGAGGCAGCAGUGGGGAAUAUUGCACAAUGGGCGGAAGCCUGAUGCAAGCAACGCCGCGUGCGGGAUGACGGCCUUCGGGUUGUAAACCGCCUUCGCCUGUGACGAAGCGUGAGUGACGGUAAUGGGUAAAGAAGCACCGGCUAACUACGUGCCAGCCGCAGC